GAGAUAGCUUAGUUGGUAGAGCAAGAGACUUAUAAACUCAAGAGUCAUGGGUUCGAGCCUCACGUUGGACA